rnacentral:lncRNA from 1 species
AGUCUUCUGUUUGCCUUCAGAACAAGAUGUAGAACUCUCAGCUAUUUCUGUGCCACGCCUGCCUGCAUGCUGCCAUGCUUCCUGCUGUGAUGAUAAUGGACUGAACCUCAGAACCUGUAAGCCAGCCCCAACUAAAUGUCAUUUAUAAGAGGAGAGACCGGGGAAGGAGAAGUAUUACCAAGUAAACAGGAAGAGCAUAGCCAGCAGCUUCCACAUCUAUAGAAAUGACAGAGACCGCUGGCUGCCCUGACAGUCACCCAACGCUUCUCUGCAACACUGGCUCCAGCAGUUCACCGGCAGCCUACUGGCCCAGGAUAUCUGCAGACUUAUCUGUGAAGCUGGACUAUGGAGGACCAGGCUACUUUAUCUUUGCAAAGCUAGGCAGAUAACUUCCUCUGUGUCCUGCUUGUCCACAGUUUGGGCAGCAUUCUGUCAGCAGCUGAAGCAAGGGCAAGUUUUUUGUUUUUUGUUUUUUGUUUUUUGUUUUUUGUUUUUUGUUUGUUUGUUUGUUUUUGCUGAUGGCUAGCCGUGCCACAAUGGAAGGGAACUCCAUGUAGAGGUUCUUCAAUGCCCAUCUUCUUCUUUGAAGUAGUAUGGGAAUGUUGCCACGAGCAGACCCAUCUAGUGUCAUGAAAAGCCUUGUGUUAAUAAAGCAUCUUUAAAUGCCA